UACGGAGGGUGCAAGCGUUAUCCGGAUUUACUGGGUUUAAAGGGUGCGUAGGCGGAUUAUUAAGUCAGUGGUGAAAUCCCGGGGCUCAACCUCGGAACUGCCAUUGAUACUAUUAGUCUUGAAUUAUGUUGAGGUUGGCGGAAUAUAACAUGUAGCGGUGAAAUGCUUAGAUAUGUUAUGGAACACCGAUUGCGAAGGCAGCUGGCUAAACAUAUAUUGACGCUGAUGCACGAAAGCGUGGGUAGCGAAC
rnacentral:rRNA from 1 species